UACGUAGGCGGAAAAUUAAGUCAGUAGUGAAAUCCUGCAGCUUAACUGUAGAACUGUUAUUGAUACUGGUUUUCUUGAAUAUAGUUGAGGUAGGCGGAAUGUGUAAUGUAGCGGUGAAAUGCUUAGAUAUUACACAGAACACCGAUUGCGAAGGCAGCUUACUAAGCUAUGAUUGACGCUGAGGUACAAAAGCGUGGGGAGCAAACAGGAUUAGAUACCCUGGUAGUCC
rnacentral:rRNA from 1 species